rnacentral:tRNA from 1 species
GGGUAUGUAGCUCAUUGGUUAAGAGCAUGGCUUCUACAGAGGACCUGGGUUCUAUUCCCAGCAUCCACA